UACGAAGGGUGCAAGCGUUAAUCGGAAUUACUGGGCGUAAAGCGUGCGCAGGCGGUUGUGCAAGACAGAUGUGGAAAUCCCCCGGGCUUAACCUGGGAAUGGCAUUGGUGACUGCACGGCUAGAGUGUGUCAGAGGGGGGUAGAAUUCCACGUGUAGCAGUGAAAUGCGUAGAGAUGUGGAGGAACACCGAUGGCGAAGGCAGCCCCCUGGGUCAAGACAUGACGCUCGAUGACACGAAGCGUGGGAGCAACAG
rnacentral:rRNA from 1 species